GCUAGCUUUGGCAGUACAUGUAUUAAAAUUGUAACUAUACAGAGAAGAUUAACACGGCCCCUGUGCAAGGAUGAUAAGCAAAUUCAUGAAACAUUCCAUAUUUAA
rfam:Mus musculus chromosome 11, GRC primary reference assembly.